UGGAGGAGGAAGCACAAGCUUACAGGAGCACUGGUAUGUUCGAGACCAGGACAUGAAUGACCACGCCCCCAGUUCUUCCCCAUCUCACCCUGAGCCACCUGCAAAACCCCAUCAGCCUGUAGCCCUAAGGACACCUUGGCCAGCAGACUCAAAGAGGGGCACAGCAUCGAGCACGUGGGCCUUAGCCUGCAGAGACUGGUCCUGGAUUUCACCCUGCUGACUGACACUAGGCUGGGCCACACGGGACUCAGGGAUCAACGCUCUUCUCCUGAGACGUCACACAGAACAAGGCCCAGAAAUCACAGUUUCCGAGAUUGAGUCCCGGGGGGCAGGCGUGGAUCCAAGACCCAGCAGCCAGAGGAAUUGCCAGGCACCCCACAGCCUGUUGGAGCCCACACCCCAGAUGGAGCAAAGUGACUGAUCUCAGUGCCUGCUCUUCUUGUCUGCCAGGCCUGUGACAGGGCCGCCUCCUGCACAGCUCCCCCAGGGCCCUGCUCAAAUGACCAGAGCUCAGCCCACAGAGGGAGGGGCACCUGGAAACUCCGGGGAGACUGGGGGCUGGCCACAGGAAGGGAGGAGGUCCCCACGGCUGCUUCAGGCAGGAGACAGAGGACCACAAAAUGUCAUCUGCUGAAACCCCCCCCCCAGCCUGAAGUUGCGGUGAGCUCUGCUCACUGGAAGGACAGACAAGACUGAAUGAACCAUCAUAAAGAUGCCGCAGGGCACCCCAGGAGGUGGGACUAGAUUUUCUAAGAGCAAGUUUCUAAGAGCCACUUCUAUUUCUAGCAGAGGAGACAGUGAGUCUCCCUGAGAAAAAGCUCCUGAGCGGUCCCUUCCAGGAAGUAGAUGAAAGGCAAGUCAGCAAGCACUCCCCUCUGGAUGGUGAGCCAGGACUCUGACCAUCCUUCCCAGAGGGACUGGGAAGGAGUGGACAAACUGUGUCAGGGUCUAGAAGCCUUCCAAAGAAAGGGCUCUCGAUGCCUUUACAGAUUCUAAAAUAUUGAAGCAUCUCUAAAGCGCCUCUAAUGCCGAAUGUCUGACUCCUCCGGGGGGGGAAGGCUGGAUGUCAUCAAUCACAGCCAUGCAGAACGGCAAGACAUCUGUGAGCCUCAACACGGGGGCUGGAACGCUGGGAGCCCAGACCCUAGAGGAGAUGACAGUCUCCACUUCAAGGCCAAGCAGAGAGCCAGGAGCAGCCUCGGGGAGGGAUGAGUCCUACGAAAGAAUGGAGACGAGAGACAUGGACUUGCCAUGAUGAAAUGGGGCUCAGGAUGACAUCUUACAAAAUAUAAAAGGUGCAGUGGCCUUAUACGGACCCCAGGCUGCUGAGGUGGGAUACAUCACAUGGGUCAGGUCAGAGGGCCUUAGCGAUCAGAGCAUGAUCUUUUCCUAGUACAAAGAAGCAGGUCCAGGAGCUGAAGUGGCUGGCCAAGGUCACUGCCCAGCUGGUACAGAGCUGGAAAUGCAUCCUGAGCCUGGCUCUUCCCAACACCCUCUCUUCCCUGCAGCCUUUCCACCUCCAUUGCCUUGCCAGAACCUCGCAGAAGUCUGAGAAAACAAAUCCAUGAAGUUCUUUCUUCUGUAAACAAACGAUUUUUUUCGUGUUUUUGUCACAGAGACCCAUUGUGUUACAGAAACCCUAAAGUGCCCUCUGCUGGAGACACCGAGGAAUCUUGUCACGUGUGGAUUCUUCUUCCCCAGAGUUUCAGCAACACCAGUCACUUACACCUUGAUAUUUGCUGAUUUUCUUGGCGUGUGCGACUGUCAUCACUUUACAUGUUUGCUAAAAUAAUUCAAAGUUCAGACAGUAUUUCCGCCACUCAAAACCCCAAAUCUCUAGUUGGAGCACUCUGUCACCAUGCAA